AUCUCAGGAAUGCUGGUUGGCGCGGGCUGCUGCCAAGCGCCUCCCCUGGCUCCGUUGCACCUUUUUUUUUUUUUUCUUUUCUUUCUUUUUUUUUGGUCCUGGAUCCGUCAAGAAAACAAUCUCCCAUUUUUUCCACUUUAAAUAACUACUUCUAUUGGGGAGGGCUCUUUCUGGCGUGUUGGUGGUGAAAGUGGUGGAAGGGGCGAGGGGGGCGAGUUCAGAACUUUGCCUGCACUGGGAGGGUGGGAGGACCUGGGAGGGAGGAACAAAAGUGGUUUUGUUUGGUGAUGCCGAGUUGACCGGGCAGCCCUGGAAGCCCUCACCCGGGAAGGCAGCGAGCUGUUUGCUUGUUUACAGAGAAGGUGAGAGUCAAGUUAUCUACUGAGAGGUGAACGGGGAGGGGGAGUGCGUCUGUGAGCCAGGACUAUUUGUGGAUUUCAUAGAGGCAUGCUCGAAUCAAGUCCCAAAGCUUUGGCAUGGUGUUUAUUAGCCAAGUUAAGUGUAUUGCAAAUUAAUACCCGCACUGGCAUUUAUGAAUGAGAAGAGGAAAAAAAAAAUCAACUUCCCCCACUGUCUGGCAGAUUCCCAGGCAGAGGUCUUCCCCCUUCCGCCCCCCUCCCUUUUUUGGUAUGUCGUACUUGUUUGUUUUUGGAGGUUCCCACUUUAGUUCCAGCCCACUGCCUGGGUUGGAAGUCCGAGAGGAAACGAACGCAGGGAAUUCUCCGGGAGGCUGACUUCUACUUCCUCACGGAUGCGGGAGACUGGAUUUUUGCUGGUCUGAGGACGAAGAACAAAGGAGGAUUCCGGCUGUUGGGCUGAUUAUGUGAAAUAAGACAUAAGACACGUUUAAUGCUCAGCAGGAUGCUUGGGACAUAAUAGCUUUCUCCGUGCCAUGGGAAGCAUGGCUCCUAGUAGCUUUGGUUUCUCAUCUCAUCCUAGCAGCCCUUUUACUAGCAAAGAAAGAAGAUUUCUUCCGCUUUGGCUCCAGCCUGUAAACAAUCUCAAGAAUGACUUGCAUUGGAUCAACAGAGGUUGCAUACUCCUUCCCAAACCAAACACCAAGCCAGGAAGAUGGGGUAAUAUCCCAAUGUAUUAGCUCAUAGAGUACAAACUUAAAUUUAUUUCUUAACGUGCAUGCCUUUUAAUAGAGAAAGUUAUAAACACUUGGGUACUGUCUUAGAAAAAGCAGAACUCUCUAAAGAGGGUGAUUGGAGGCUGACACAGACAGACAUCCUGUUGUAUGAAAAAGUCCUGGAGGAAUGCACUAUGCUAACAGCUUGCUUAAUGCUUUUGCUUCCUGUAGAGUGGCCUGGGGGUGGGAACUCAGAGCAGACUUAUAAAUUGAUUUCUGUAGUGGAGGAACUUCUCUUAAAAUCUCUGCUGGGGUUAUUUAAGACAUUGAACUAUUGGGGCGCCUGGGUGACUCAGUCGUUUAAGCAUCCAACUCUUGAUUUUGGCUCAGGUCAUGAUCUCAGGGUCCUGGGAUUGAGCCCCGCGUUGGGCUCCACGCUCAGCAGGGAGUCUGCUUGAAGAUUCUCUCCCUCUGCCCCUCCCCCGCCUCUCUCCCUCAAAUAAAUAAAUACAUCUUAAAAAAAAAAAGAAAAAAGACAUUGAACAGUUUGCUCUUGGCUCCAGUACUUCAGUGUCCACUCACCGUUACAUUCGUGGGUGGACAUGGUAUUAUAUUAGAGAUCUGGAGAGCUCAUGACUGGGUGCAGAUCCAGUGUUUUGACUUUUUAUGCCAACAUCAGCAUUUCCCCACUUGUUUGACAUUUCUCCUGUCAGUUGGGCCCUUGAUUCAAGAUUACCUUGAUUACUUUCAGGUCUUUUUAGUCAUGAAUUUUUCUUAACUAGUUUUACCUCAAAAUGGUGUCUCUUACCUGAUGUAGUUUUCGGAAUAAAUAGGCAAGGUUUGGUGGGGUCUGGAGCCCACAGCCAAGAAAGAAUUCUUGAGAUGUCUUUGGUGCAAAAUGGUGGUUUUAUUAAAGCACAAGGACAGGACCUGUGGGCAGAAGGAGCUGCUGCUGCCCCCGCUGCCCCUGCUGCCCCCACUGCCUCCGCUGUCUUCUGCUCCCCUUUGCUGCCCCGGGAUUAUGAGGAAUAACUGAUUAUAUACUUUGGGGUUGGAGGAAUUAAAGAUAAAGGAAGUUCCAAAAGGAUUUUCAUGUGCUAAAGGAGACACAGGAUAUAGGAGGCCUUGCUAUUGUCAAACUAAGGUGGUUUUUCCCUCUAGCAGGGCAUUAAUAUUAAGACAUUAUACUCUGCCUGCCUCAAGUAUUUGUCAAUGGGCUGCAGGUUAUAUGGACAUUUAAUUUUAUCUACACUUCCUUCUGCCUUUGUUUCCCACAUCAUUACCCACUACUCUCUCCAGCACUAAAUUCUUUCCUCUUUUACCUCCCUAAGAAACUAACUCCAUCCAAUACUCCAACUUCUAUUUACAUCUUCGAUUACCCCUCUCCACUGCAUCUUUCUCUACACAUCUACCUACAGGACUAUCCCCUUGAGAUAUCAUCAAAAGAGAGAAUAUAUGUGGAAGGACUUUAUGAUUUUGAAGUGGAAUAAAAAUAUGGAAUAAUAUUGUUAUCCUAUCUUCACAAUCAUCUCAAAAAAUUACCAAUGUAAUGCAUUUUUUGAGUUUACUUUCUCAGCAUUCAGCUCAUUACUUAAUGUCUUAAAAUCUGAUGUCUCCUAACAUAUUUUGGGGAGGGGGCCCAUAUCUUUGUUGACCCUUCUUCCAGCACAUGGCACAUCUGAUUUUGCCCUUCUCUUUUGGUGUCUGCAAUUCACUACCUUGAUUCACCUUCUCUCUCUCUGACUACUCUUCUCUCUCCUUUAAUGCCCAUCUGUUUCCUUCUACCUCUGAAUGUGAGUGGUCUCCAUCAUUCUGUCCUGGCUCCUUCUCGUCCCUCCCCCCUCUCAUUCUCAUAAAUACUUCUUGAAACAAAUCCCAGAUCUCUCUCUUCCCUUCAACAUGUUAAAUGCCCACUGAUAAUAAUAUCUCAUUAGCCCCCAAACAUAAGGUAUAUAAAAUAAACUCUCAUUCUAUCCUAAAUAUCUUUCACCCUAUCUCAGCCAACAGUGUUACUUUUCUACCCAGUCACCAAGGCUUGAAACCUUGGUUCUCUCUUUGAUUCCUUGCUCUCUUUUCCCUGAAUCCAAUUUAAGCUAUAUUUUUAAGAACACAUUGUUCUGUUCACCUACCUUCUGUUCACUCUGUCUCUCCCUUCUGCCUUCUCUUUCUUCAGGCAGUGAUGGUUCAGGCGGCUGGAACAGCACACAGUCUAUUAUCUUGCUUUCAGUAAGGUUGUCCAGAAGUAUUUUGUGGCCAUACUUCUUUUCUCUUCCUCAUUAUUGAUUCUUUCCCUUUUCUGAACUGAAUAAUCAUUCAAAUUUUAUUCAUAAAGAUCAUUAAAUCUUCUUCUACAUAUCAAAUACCUUUCUCAAAACCUAAAUAUACACUAACAUGUUUAGAACAGCCUAUAUAGCAUGUCUAGUUAAGUCACGGUCAGGUGUAAGCUGACUGUUGUCUAUAAGCAUUGACAAGAAAAAAUACAUUUCAUGGCUAUGUAUUUUGUUAAUAUAAUUUGCAUCUUCAAGUUAGUAGCUUCAUCUUAGGAUAACAUUUCAACCAUAUUUGAUUUAGAAAGCUAAAGUUUUGAUGAGCUAACGAAUGUACAUUAAACAUAUUACUGAAGUUUUGAUACAUUUCCAGCAAUCAUCAGCAUAUAAUUCCAGUUUAGGUGUAAACUCAUCAGAAACCUCACCUCAAUCUCUAGGACUCAUGUCGUCUUGCUGUAUUUCUGCAGAUCCUAUUAAUAAAGAAUGAUUAAGGACAGCUUUAUUUUUCCCAGUUUCAAUAUUAAAGAUGUAUGUUGUAAUAGUAACAUACU